rnacentral:rRNA from 1 species
UACGUAGGUGGCAAGCGUUGUCCGGAUUUAUUGGGCGUAAAGCGAGCGCAGGCGGUUCCUUAAGUCUGAUGUGAAAGCCCCCGGCUCAACCGGGGAGGGGCAGUGGAAACUGGGGAACUUGAGUGCAGAAGAGGAGAGUGGAAUUCCAUGUGUAGCGGUGAAAUGCGUAGAUAUAGGGAGGAACACCAGAGGCGAAGGCGACUUUCUGGACUGUAACUGACACUGAGGCUCGAAAGCGUGGGGAGCAAACAGG